CCUACGGGAGGCAGCAGUAGGGAAUCUUCCACAAUGGGCGAAAGCCUGAUGGAGCAACGCCGCGUGAGUGAUGAAGGCCUUCGGGUUGUAAAACUCUGUCAUUCGGGACGAACCGGAGUCUGAGGAAAUGCAGACUCUCUGACGGUACCGGAGGAGGAAGCCCCGGCUAACUACGUGCCAGCAGCCGCGGUAAUACGUAGGGGGCAAGCGUUGUCCGGAUUCACUGGGCGUAAAGCGCGCGCAGGCGGUGAUGUAAGUCUGAGGUGAAAACCCGAAGCUCAACUUCGGGACUGCCUUGGAUACUGCGUCACUUGAGGAUAGGAGAGGCAAGGGGAAUUCCACGUGUAGCGGUGAAAUGCGUAGAGAUGUGGAGGAACACCUGUGGCGAAGGCGCCUUGCUGGCCUAUUUCUGACGCUGAGGCGCGAAAGCGUGGGGAGCAAACAGGAUUAGAUACCCUGGUAGUCCACGCUGUAAACGAUGAGUGCUAGGUGUAGGUGGGCUCAUACCCAUCUGUGCCGAAGCUAACGCAUUAAGCACUCCGCCUGGGGAGUACGGUCGCGAGACUGAAACUCAAAUGAAUUGACGG
rnacentral:rRNA from 1 species